rnacentral:lncRNA from 1 species
CAAAACUAGAACACAAACAUAUGGUACAAGAAAUUUAAAACAUUGUUAGUUUAAUUUUAAAAAAAGAAAGGUUUCGAACAAAGAUCUGGAUGACUACAAAUUUGGUGAUACAACCCAGUUUCGUUCAUUUUUUUUGCAUACACAUUGCUGCUUGGAGAAUGCCCACAGUUCUUAUGGAUUUGUGCUUCCUUCAGAUAUCAUCUAGGCUAAUGAAUUCUCUAAAAGGACAAUUGAUUGUUCCAGGGAGAAGUGAUAAAGUGGUAUAUAUGGUCUUCUCGAGUGUUUGUCAAUAUAUUAGUUUAUAUGAAAGCAGACUGGUAGUGAUUAGGUCAAUAUGUCAAUUACUUUAAAUCUUGCUACAUGGGUGUUGGGUCUCUGUACACACCACUAACAUCUUUUGUCUUGAAAUAAUCUUAUUGUCACCAUUUU